rnacentral:rRNA from 1 species
UAACACGUGGGGAACCUGCCCCAUAGUCUGGGAUACCACUUGGAAACAGGUGCUAAUACCGGAUAAGAAAGCGGAUCGCAUGAUCAGCUUUUAAAAGGCGGCGUAAGCUGUUGCUAUGGGAUGGCCCCGCGGUGCAUUAGCUAGUUGGUAAGGUAAAGGCUUACCAAGGCGAUGAUGCAUAGCCGAGUUGAGAGACUGAUCGGCCACAUUGGGACUGAGACACGGCCCAAACUCCUACGGGAGGCAGCAGAAA